CCGCGGCAGCGAGAGCGUAAGAGAGAGCUCGGCAGGAAAUAGCUGAACAAGUCAAUGCGAACAACCCGAGUUGCCCCAAGAGGACUUGGCAGCAAAUGAAGAUGAAGUACAAAAAUAUAGUUCAAACAG